AUUGAACGCUGGCGGCAUGCUUUACACAUGCAAGUCGAACGGUAACAGGCCUUCGGGUGCUGACGAGUGGCGAACGGGUGAGUAAUGCAUCGGAACGUGCCCAGUGGCGGGGGAUAACGCAGCGAAAGCUGUGCUAAUACCUCAUGUGAUCUGAGGAUGAAAGCGGGGGACCAGGCAGCAAUGUUUGGCCUCGCGCCUUUGGAGCGGCCGAUGUCAGAUUAGGUAGUUGGUGGGGUAAAGGCCUACCAAGCCGACGAUCUGUAGCUGGUCUGAGAGGACGACCAGCCACACUGGGACUGAGACACGGCCCAGACUCCUACGGGAGGCAGCAGUGGGGAAUUUUGGACAAUGGGCGCAAGCCUGAUCCAGCAAUGCCGCGUGCGGGAAGAAGGCCUUCGGGUUGUAAACCGCUUUUGUACGGAACGAAAAGGCUCUGGCUAAUACCUGGGGCUGAUGACGGUACCGUAAGAAUAAGCACCGGCUAACUACGUG
rnacentral:rRNA from 1 species